CAUGACCACCUUUCACCAGCUCAAGCUCCUAAGCCUCACAAAGGCCACCACCACCCCAAACAUUCCCCAGCCCCUUCACCAACUAAGCCUCCCACUUAUAGCCCAUCGAAACCACCAGUUAAACCACCGGUUAAACCACCAACUAAGGCUCCCACUUAUAGCCCAUCAAAACCACCAGCUAAGCCACCAGUUAAACCACCAACACCAACACCAUCACCUUAUCCUGCUCCUGCUCCUAUUACUAGGAAACCUGUAGCAGUCCGUGGCCUUGUUUACUGCAAGCCGUGCAAGUUUAGAGGGGUUAAAACUCUAAACCAAGCUUCCCCACUCCUGG
rnacentral:lncRNA from 1 species